GUGGGGAAUCUUGCGCAAUGGGCGAAAGCCUGACGCAGCCAUGCCGCGUGAAUGAUGAAGGUCUUAGGAUUGUAAAAUUCUUUCACCGGGGACGAUAAUGACGGUACCCGGAGAAGAAGCCCCGGCUAACUUCGUGCCAGCAGCCGCGGUAAUACGAAGGGGGCUAGCGUUGCUCGGAAUUACUGGGCGUAAAGGGCGCGUAGGCGGACAGUUUAGUCAGAGGUGAAAGCCCAGGGCUCAACCUUGGAAUUGCCUUUGAUACUGGCUGUCUUGAGUACGGGAGAGGUGAGUGGAACUCCGAGUGUAGAGGUGAAAUUCGUAGAUAUUCGGAAGAACACCAGUGGCGAAGGCGACUCACUGGCCCGUUACUGAUGCUGAGGCGCGAAAGCGUGGGGAGCAAACAGGAUUAGAUACCCGAGUAGUCC
rnacentral:rRNA from 1 species